AUUGAACGCUGGCGGCAGGCCUAACACAUGCAAGUCGAGCGAGCGGCGGACGGGUGAGUAAUGUAUGGGGAUCUGCCCGAUGGAGGGGGAUAACUACUGGAAACGGUGGCUAAUACCGCAUACUAUCGGAUGAACCCAGAUGGGAUUAGCUAGGAGGUGGGGUAACGGCUCACCUAGGCGACGAUCCCUAGCUGGUCUGAGAGGAUGAUCAGCCGCACUGGGACUGAGACACGUCCCAGACUCCUCCGGUAGGCAGCAGUGGGGAAUAUUGCACAAUGUGCGCAAGCCUUAUGCAGCCAUGCCGCGUGUAUGAAGAAGGCCUUAGGGUUGUAAAGUACUUUCAGCGGGGAUGCGUUACCCGCAGAAGAAGCACCGGCUAACUCCGUGCCAGCCGCCGCGGUAAUUC
rnacentral:rRNA from 1 species